GAUAACGUAAAAGAGAAGAUGAACAAAUACAGAAAAAAACCAAACCGUCGUCGAGAAACAUAGAAGAAGAUUUUAGAUCAUUUACAAAAAAAUAAAAAAAUAAAUAAACCAAUAAAUAAAAACGACCAAAAGCAAAUGACAGAAAAGCCUCUAGGGAAACCAACAAACGGCAAUGAAUUCUUGCCCCAUAACCUGGAGAUUCUAUCUUAAAAGGGGAUUGAAUCGGUAAAUUAAGCAAUUAUAAAUAAGGUUUUGCAGAAAUAUGUAGAUUUCCGAUUUGAAGAAAGAAAACUCAAAUUUAUGGAAAAAAUCAUGUCCGAUGGAAGUUCAACAAUUUUGUUUCGUUCCCAAAAUUUGUGUUUCCUCUGUUUUUCCCGGAAGUUUAAACUCUUACUUGAAAUUUGGAGCAACGUCGGCAGAGGCUUCCACCGGCAAACAAUGAGCGGCUGCUCCACUCCCACCUCCGACGGAAUUUGAAAUCUUCAAUUUUCUGUAAAGAUUUCUGUGAACGAUGUGUUGAUGCAGUUGAGGAGAUGUGUAUUGUGCAGAUAAGUUUUUUUUUUU
rnacentral:lncRNA from 1 species